rnacentral:miRNA from 1 species
ACUAACGUUUCGUCUUUAACCUAAGACAUCUUCAGAGUAAAUGAAUAUAGUAAUUUAUUCAUAUUUGUAACCCAUUGUCAUACUUAUAUUCAUUUACUCUGAAGAUGUCUUAGGUUAAAGACGAAACGUUAGU